UACGGAGGGGGCUAGCGUUGUUCGGAAUUACUGGGCGUAAAGGGCUCGUAGGCGGCCAACUAAGUCGGACGUGAAAUCCCUCGGCUUAACUGGGGAACUGCGUCCGAUACUGGAUGGCUUGAGUUCGGGAGAGGGAUGUGGAAUUCCAGGUGUAGCGGUGAAAUGCGUAGAUAUCUGGAGGAACACCGGUGGCGAAGGCGGCAUCCUGGACCGACACUGACGCUGAUGAGCGAAAGCCAGGGGAGCAAACGGG
rnacentral:rRNA from 1 species